rnacentral:rRNA from 1 species
UACGUAGGAUGCAAGCGUUGUCCGGAUUUAUUGGGCGUAAAGAGCGCGUAGGUGGUGUCUUAAGUUAGGCGUGAAAUUUCCCGGCUUAACUGGGAAGGGUCGUCUAAAACUGGGACGCUUGAGGGCAGCAGAGGAAAGUGGAAUUCCGGGUGUAGUGGUGAAAUGCGUAGAUAUCCGGAGGAACACCAGGGCGAAGGCGGCUUUCUGGGCUGUUCCUGACGCUGAGGCGCGAAGGCUAGGGUAGC